CCUACAUCCAGACUCCCACGCUCCGAUGGAAACUUUAACCAAAGCAUAGGAGGGGCUCUUGCUUUUCUUCUGGAGUUUACAUGUUCUCUGGAUGAUGUGGCAAAAACAAAUGAAAAAAGUCCCUCCCGACCCAGACUCCUUAACACACUGCCGGAGUGUCACUGUCAUCAUACAAAUCACCGCCAAGCUCAUCAAACGCGAUUAUCACAAACAGAAAGCUACCCACCAGCACAGUGGAUCCAGAAAGGUGCUGUGGGUUCAUGGCCCACGUCACAUGUCUGAGUUAUAAGACACAGGCCUUGAGCUUCCAAUGAGGACUGCUGUGAGAAGAGCUUAAGAACCCGGUUUUUCAUUUGUUGUGGGGAUGCUGAAUACCCUGUUCAUGAUACCUCUCAGUGCUUCCUCGAUAAAAGUCCACAUGCAAAAUGUAGUUGAAAAGAACUAAAAAAAUCUUUGCUCCUCUUGGGGACCUGGUACGCCUUCCUUCUCUGACAGCAAGAAUUACCGCAGUGACCACAUUUGCCUUUUCUCUUUGAUGUUAUGAAGCUCAGCUAAAUAGCAAUGUAAGGGACUUACUGUCUG